UACGUAGGGUGCGAGCGUUGCCCGGAUUUAUUGGGCGUAAAGGGCGCGUAGGCGGUCACGCACGUCCGUUGUGAAAUCGCUCGGCUCAACUGGGCGGGGUCAGCGGAUACGGCGUGGCUGGAGCAAGCUAGGGGGCAAUGGAAUUCCCGGUGUAGUGGUGGAAUGCGUAGAUAUCGGGGAGGAACACCAGUGGCGAAGGCGGUUGCCUGGAGCUUUGCUGACGCUGAUUGCGCGAAAGCGUGGGGAG
rnacentral:rRNA from 1 species